rnacentral:rRNA from 1 species
GGGUUGUGAGGUUAAGCGACUAAGCGUACACGGUGGAUGCCCUGGCAGUCAGAGGCGAUGAAGGACGUGCUAAUCUGCGAUAAGCGCCGGUAAGGUGAUAUGAACCGUUAUAACCGGCGAUUUCCGAAUGGGGAAACCCAGUGUGAUUCGUCACACUAUCAUUAACUGAAUCCAUAGGUUAAUGAGGCGAACCGGGGGAACUGAAACAUCUAAGUACCCCGAGGAAAAGAAAUCAACCGAGAUUCCCCCAGUAGCGGCGAGCGAACGGGGAGGAGCCCAGAGCCUGAAUCAGCAUGUGUGUUAGUGGAAGCGUCUGGAAAGGCGCGCGAUACAGGGUGACAGCCCCGUACACAAAAGCGCAUGUGCUGUGAGCUCGAUGAGUAGGGCGGGACACGUGGUAUCCUGUCUGAAUAUGGGGGGACCAUCCUCCAAGGCUAAAUACUCCUGACUGACCGAUAGUGAACCAGUACCGUGAGGGAAAGGCGAAAAGAACCCCGGCGAGGGGAGUGAAAAAGAACCUGAAACCGUGUACGUACAAGCAGUGGGAGCACCCUUCGGGGUGUGACUGCGUACCUUUUGUAUAAUGGGUCAGCGACUUAUAUUCUGUAGCAAGGUUAACCGUAUAGGGGAGCCGGAGGGAAACCGAGUCUUAAUUGGGCGUUAAGUUGCAGGGUAUAGACCCGAAACCCGGUGAUCUAGCCAUGGGCAGGUUGAAGGUUGGGUAACACUAACUGGAGGACCGAACCGACUAAUGUUGAAAAAUUAGCGGAUGACCUGUGGCUGGGGGUGAAAGGCCAAUCAAACCGGGAGAUAGCUGGUUCUCCCCGAAAGCUAUUUAGGUAGCGCCUCGUGAAUUCAUCUCCGGGGGUAGAGCACUGUUUCGGCUAGGGGGCCAUCCCGGCUUACCAACCCGAUGCAAACUGCGAAUACCGGAGAAUGUUAUCACGGGAGACACACGGCGGGUGCUAACGUCCGUCGUGAAGAGGGAAACAACCCAGACCGCCAGCUAAGGUCCCAAAGUCAUGGUUAAGUGGGAAACGAUGUGGGAAGGCCCAGACAGCCAGGAUGUUGGCUUAGAAGCAGCCAUCAUUUAAAGAAAGCGUAAUAGCUCACUGGUCGAGUCGGCCUGCGCGGAAGAUGUAACGGGGCUAAACCAUGCACCGAAGCUGCGGCAGCGAACGUAUCACCCAAGACAACUUUACGGAGUUGACGAUUGACGGAGCGAAGCGACGUCAAAGCGUUCAUUAAAGUCGAGUUGGCUUAGGGAUACGUUCGUUGGGUAGGGGAGCGUUCUGUAAGCCUGUGAAGGUGUGUCGUGAGGCAUGCUGGAGGUAUCAGAAGUGCGAAUGCUGACAUAAGUAACGAUAAAGCGGGUGAAAAGCCCGCUCGCCGGAAGACCAAGGGUUCCUGUCCAACGUUAAUCGGGGCAGGGUGAGUCGACCCCUAAGGCGAGGCCGAAAGGCGUAGUCGAUGGGAAACGGGUUAAUAUUCCCGUACUUGGUGUUACUGCGAAGGGGGGACGGAGAAGGCUAUGUUGGCCGGGCGACGGUUGUCCCGGUUUAAGCGUGUAGGUGUGUGUUCCAGGUAAAUCCGGUUCACUUUAACACUGAGGCGUGACGACGAGGCACUACGGUGCUGAAGCAACAAAUGCCCUGCUUCCAGGAAAAGCCUCUAAGCAUCAGGUAACACGAAAUCGUACCCCAAACCGACACAGGUGGUCAGGUAGAGAAUACCAAGGCGCUUGAGAGAACUCGGGUGAAGGAACUAGGCAAAAUGGUGCCGUAACUUCGGGAGAAGGCACGCUGACACGUAGGUGAAGUGAUUUACUCAUGGAGCUGAAGUCAGUCGAAGAUACCAGCUGGCUGCAACUGUUUAUUAAAAACACAGCACUGUGCAAACACGAAAGUGGACGUAUACGGUGUGACGCCUGCCCGGUGCCGGAAGGUUAAUUGAUGGGGUCAGCGCAAGCGAAGCUCCUGAUCGAAGCCCCGGUAAACGGCGGCCGUAACUAUAACGGUCCUAAGGUAGCGAAAUUCCUUGUCGGGUAAGUUCCGACCUGCACGAAUGGCGUAAUGAUGGCCAGGCUGUCUCCACCCGAGACUCAGUGAAAUUGAACUCGCUGUGAAGAUGCAGUGUACCCGCGGCAAGACGGAAAGACCCCGUGAACCUUUACUAUAGCUUGACACUGAACAUUGAGCCUUGAUGUGUAGGAUAGGUGGGAGGCUUUGAAGUGUGGACGCCAGUCUGCAUGGAGCCGACCUUGAAAUACCACCCUUUAAUGUUUGAUGUUCUAACGUGGACCCGUAAUCCGGGUUGCGGACAGUGUCUGGUGGGUAGUUUGACUGGGGCGGUCUCCUCCUAAAGAGUAACGGAGGAGCACGAAGGUUGGCUAAUCCUGGUCGGACAUCAGGAGGUUAGUGCAAUGGCAUAAGCCAGCUUGACUGCGAGCGUGACGGCGCGAGCAGGUGCGAAAGCAGGUCAUAGUGAUCCGGUGGUUCUGAAUGGAAGGGCCAUCGCUCAACGGAUAAAAGGUACUCCGGGGAUAACAGGCUGAUACCGCCCAAGAGUUCAUAUCGACGGCGGUGUUUGGCACCUCGAUGUCGGCUCAUCACAUCCUGGGGCUGAAGUAGGUCCCAAGGGUAUGGCUGUUCGCCAUUUAAAGUGGUACGCGAGCUGGGUUUAGAACGUCGUGAGACAGUUCGGUCCCUAUCUGCCGUGGGCGCUGGAGAACUGAGGGGGGCUGCUCCUAGUACGAGAGGACCGGAGUGGACGCAUCACUGGUGUUCGGGUUGUCAUGCCAAUGGCACUGCCCGGUAGCUAAAUGCGGAAGAGAUAAGUGCUGAAAGCAUCUAAGCACGAAACUUGCCCCGA